GUGUCAGCCGCCGCGGUAAUACAGAGGGUGCGAGCGUUAAUCGGAAUUACUGGGCGUAAAGCGCGCGUAGGCGGUUUUGUAAGUCGGGUGUGAAAGCCCCGGGCUCAACCUGGGAACUGCAUUCGAGACUGCAUUACUGGAGUAUGGGAGAGGGCAGUGGAAUUUCCGGUGUAGCGGUGAAAUGCGUAGAUAUCGGAAGGAACAUCAGUGGCGAAAGCGACUGCCUGGCCCAAUACUGACGCUCAUGUGCGAAAGCGUGGGGAGCAAACAGGAUUAGAAACCCGCGUAGUCC
rnacentral:rRNA from 1 species